rnacentral:lncRNA from 1 species
GCCCAAUGGCGUAGGCGAAACCAAUCCCUCAAGAACAACGAAUAUUAUCCCGCUGCCAUCCUAACUGGCGUCAGAGCCUACUGCCUCUGCUGGACCCACAGGGUGAUUUGGACUAAGAACAACACAGACUAUUUGGUGGAAUCUGAGGGAAGCUGAAUCAAGGUCUGUUUGUCCUGGGCUCCUGAUUGCUUUGUUUAACACUGCAUUCCACGGUAGCCUUCUCCUCCUCUUCUUCCUUCUCUUCCUCUUCCUCCUCCUCCUUACCAUCAUCAUCAUCAUUUUCUUCUUCAUCCUCCUCCUCUUCUUUCUCCUCCUCUUCUUCCUGCCUUCUCCUUCAUCACCAUCACCAUCACCACCACCAUCUUCCUCAUCCUCAUCUUCACUAGGGAAGGGCAAAAGGGUAGAUCUGCCUGCAGUGUCCCAAGAGUUCCUUUAAGCAUGCUGGCUGCAUAAAGAAGGUGAAAAGGAGACACAGAGAGGGCUGGCAGAUGUCUGUAUCAACUACUUUUCUCAUUGCUCUGACAAAAUGUCUGACAGAGGCAACAUAAGGAAGAUGUGCUGGUUAAUUUGUGUCAACUUGUCACAAGCUAGAGCCAUCAGAGAGGAGAGAGCUUCAAUUGAGAAAAAAAGUCUCAGUUAAGUAGGGCUAUAGGCAAGCCCUAGGGCAUUUUCUUAGUGAAUGAUGGGAGAAAAGCCAGUUAAUG